AGUUUGGUGCUGUAACGUGGAUAGGACCGGACCUUCCUUUGGAACUCUGUUGACUCCACCCAGUUUGUGACAAUAUCCUUACCUUCGGCCCACUGUUGUCUAUGAGCAGGCUUGAAAUGCUUUCUGUUACUUGCUACAAAAGAACCCUUAAUGAAACUGAAGUUGUAACAGAGGAUAGCACAUCCUGUCUUUGUGGAGAAUAGACCAGGCCAGAACAAGGAGGAGAAUCUGGGAAGUGCAUUUACAAAUCAGGACACCUGGGGAUAGCAGACCACAGCCAUGUGGAGCCCACACAAUAGACUGAUGACCUGCAACUAGCCUAAUGCUAAACCGGACCCAAUUCCACCAUGGAAUGAAACUGGACACUGGCUUUGCUGCUAGCUCUACUGAAUCCUCAGGGCUGGAUUAAGGGAAAUGGAA